CAAAGGAAUUGACGGGGCCCGCACAAGCGGUGGAGCAUGUGGUUAAUUCGAAGCAACGCGAAGAACCUUACCAGGUCUUGACAUCCCGAUGCUAUUCUAGAGAUAGAAAGUACUUCGGUACAUCGGUGACAGGUGGUGCAUGGUUGUCGUCAGCUCGUGUCGUGAGAUGUUGGGUUAAGUCCCGCAACGAGCGCAACCCCUAUUGUUAGUUGCCAUCAUUCAGUUGGGCACUCUAGCGAGACUGCCGGUAAUAAACCGGAGGAAGUGGGGAUGACGUCAAAUCAUCAUGCCCCUUAUGACCUGGGCUACACACGUGCUACAAUGGUUGGUACAACGAGUUGCGAGUCGGUGACGGCGAGCUAAUCUCUUAAAGCCAAUCUCAGUUCGGAUUGUAGGCUGCAACUCGCCUACAUGAAGUCGGAAUCGCUAGUAAUCGCGGAUCAGCACGCCGCGGUGAAUACGUUCCCGGGCCUU
rnacentral:rRNA from 1 species